UACGUAGGGUGCAAGCGUUAAUCGGACUUACUGGGCGUAAAGCGUGCGCAGGCGGCUAUGCAAGACAGAUGUGAAAUCCCCGGGCUCAACCUGGGAACUGCAUUUGUGACUGCAUGGCUAGAGUACGGUAGAGGGGGAUGGAAUUCCGCGUGUAGCAGUGAAAUGCGUAGAUAUGCGGAGGAACACCGAUGGCGAAGGCAAUCCCCUGGACCUGUACUGACGCUCAUGCACGAAAGCGUGGGGAGCAAACAGG
rnacentral:rRNA from 1 species